UAACUAUUAAACAAAACAAAACGUCCUAACCUUAACAGGGCAGUAACAAGAAAGCAUGAACAAGAAUUCAGAAUCUUCAACCAAACCAAAUAACAACAACAAUUCACCCAAACCCAAACCCCCUUUCAAGCCAGCAAAGGACGACACCAAGCCCGUUCUUCAAGACCCUAUACUCAGAUCCGACCCAAUUGAGACGGAAGAAGCAGUGCUGCGAUUACGUCCAUUCUCAGUCCCCACUUCAACUUCUCCACCUGGAAAGGCCUAAAGGCAUGGAUUAUGAUAAAUUUAAAGCCCAGUUGGAAGAGCACAAUAAUCAUAUAAAUGCUCUUGAAGGCAAUUUGCGAUACAAUUGUCGGGUCAUGAAUACGCUCAUGAAAGAUAUUAGAGACGAAAUUGAAAUGUUUCACUGUAAGCAUUCCAAAGAUUUAGAAGCGUUGAUGCAAGAAAAUGAGGAAUUGUUGUUGUCACUAUUGUUAGGUUGAACUAGUGAAGACGGAGAAACGAAUGCUGGAGAUAGAGAAACAAAUGUUGGAUAAGGAAAUGGAGAAAAUGGAUGAAACUUUCAAAGAGCUGAAAACUUAUACAAUGGAGGCAGAAAUGAAGUUGGGGCGAAUGAAGGACUAUUUAUCAAAGCUAGAAACUGUUGUGAAAACAUUAAACAUGGAUAAUGAAGAUAUGAUUGGAGAUUUAUUUGAAAAGGUUGAAAACUUGAAGUAUUUAGGUGAUGUUUGUAAUUAGUCCUGAGUUCUGACCUUUAU